rnacentral:rRNA from 1 species
UACGUAGGGUGCGAGCGUUAAUCGGAAUUACUGGGCGUAAAGCGUGCGCAGGCGGUUAUGUAAGACAGUUGUGAAAUCCCCCGGGCUCAACCUGGGAAUUGCAUUGUGACUGCAUAGCUAGAGUACGGUAGAGGGGGGAUGGAAUUCCGCGUGUAGCAGUGAAAUGCGUAGAUAUGCGGAGGAACACCAGUGGCGAAGGCGGCUCACUGGACCGGAACUGACGCUGAGGCGCGAAAGCGUGGGGAGCAAACAGG